AGUUGCUCGACCAUAGAGUCACAAGAACUUUCUUGCCGUUCACUCCGCAAGGUCAGAUGGAUGCAACAAUUUUAGAUCAACAACAGGCUCUGGGAGAAACCAUGGAGAAACAUCCCCUAUCACCACAGAAGAGCCAACAUCCAACUCACUCAAACCACUAAUCAGCAAGCUUUCCAAAUGCCCAACAAAAACCACUGCCUUGUCUACUAGUAUAUUCCCAACAGUCAUCUAGAACAGUAGCAGUGGGAUGGUAAAGAAUAUGUUGGCUAGCUAGCUACAUGAAGCAUGAAAACAUGUCAUGUAACACCUAAUUAGAGUCACCUGGAAACAGUGAUGAAAACUUUGGUUCUCACCCUAUCGAUAAUUCCUCACUGUUGUCAUGUCAAACAACAAUGUAUCCAAGGUGCUGCCCACUAUAUACCAACUAUAGAAUUAGAAUAAUCAUUUCUAUGAUUUCAACUGUUCAAUUAGGUAGGCUUAGAUAUCAUGCAGCGUGGCACAGUGUGGAAAUGAUAAUACAAGUGCAGGAAAAGCAGAAAUGGAUAAAUGCUGAAAAUCACUUUUGUUUGGAUUGAACAGUAAAAAGGGAAAAAGCCCAUUUGAAAUCACUUAUAAUUUAUGCGUUGCCACCCUAGGGUUAUUACUUAGAAAACAUUUAGAACUUUUGGUAUUCAAAAACAUAAAAUACUGUCAAAUACAGUUUAAAAAAAUAAUAUUGUGAUAUGAUAUUUUGUCCCUAUGACAAUCACAUAGCACCCUGUGACAUUAUCUAGAAAUUCCCAGUGUACCAAACCGUAUUAGUGACGUGGUGAGGUUAUGGGAUUGUUUUGUCAGGGGGCAGUGGAGUAUUUGUUGUCAACAUAUCUACUCUGAAUCCUGUCUGCCCUCUCUGCCUCCAUUACACCUCCAUCUGGAACAUUUUGCUGAUGCUAUAUUUGGACAUUGACAAAAACCUCACUCACACAUAAGCUGUCACUCUGCAGUAAAUCCAGCUUUGGACUGCCCACGAGGUCCAGCCAGGUGUCAGAACAUCACUGUCUAGGGGCCAACUGGCACAUCCUUUGCUACAUGUUUGUAUGUCUGCAUGCAUGCCAUAAAACAUCUCUCACCUCUGAUCAACAAAGACAAACUUCCCGUCGAUGGCAUGACGAGAGACAUACUCAGUGGGUUUGACACGGAUCUCAUUGUUCAUUGGCUGAGGAACAAUGUGGGGAUGCAGCUGUCCAAUGGCCACCAGGCAACUGAGGUUGCAGCCCUCGUUGUCUGGUUCAUUGUCAUCAUCUAGACCCAUCUUGGUGGGUGGCCAGCUCUUCAGGUAGCCAGUACUGUGUAUUGUGCAGAAGCUCUUACGGUCAGCUGUGGAUACAGUGGUUGGAUCAUCAUCAACUAGCUCUACUCUGGAGCUAUCGCUGACAUCAAUGACAGGUGGAAGGAAAGUCCUUGUCCUCCAUUUUGAUGAGGGGCCGAUUGCACUUCAUUCUGCAGAAGAAAGAUCGCCUGGCUCCAGA